rnacentral:rRNA from 1 species
AGCGUGUGGUUUAAAGAGCCGCGGUUUUUGACCGUGCAAAGGUAGCAUAAUCAUUAGUUUCUUAUUAGGGGCUUGAAUGAAUGGUUUAACGAGAAAUUAACUGUCUCUUAAUAAAUUUUGGAAUUUAACUUUUGAGUUAAAAGGCUUAAAUAUUUCUUUAGGACGAGAAGACCCUAUAGAGCUUAACAUUUUUAAUGUUUAGUUGGGGUGACUUGAAGAAUAAUUAAACUCUUCAUUAUUAAAUCAUUAAUUUAUGUUUAUUUGAUCCAUAAUUUAUGAUCAUAAGAUUAAGUUACCUUAGGGAUAACAGCGUAAUCAUUUUUGAGAGUUCCUAUCGACAAAAUGGGUUGCGACCUCGAUGUUGGAUUAAGAUUAAUUUUAGGUGUAGUAGC